GAAUCAGGAGGGAAGGUGGAGCCCACAAUCUUUGCAAACUCUCUGGGGAGCCAGGGGUUUUGGCAGAGUUCAAAGACUGGGAAGCAAAGUUCAGCCAUGUUGGGCCUUUGGGCUCAUAGAUGAGCAAGGGUACCCCAAUAUGAGGGCUCAGCAAAUUCUGGAACUUAUCAGUUCUGAAGACCUUUAGAGGAGAAGGAGACAAGUAAAAGGGUUGGCCUUGCGUAUUGGCAAUGAAACAGGCUAUUUUUGACAUUGAGUUGUCCAGCAUUCUCUAAGGUAUGUAGUCCUGGAGGGCGCUGCUUAAUGAACCAGAAGUCCUGCCUCUUAAGUACCUCACCAGCUCAAAUGUGUGCAUGUCACCUUGGCGUGAAUCGGAGCAGGCGCUGGUGGAUACCGUUUGGAGGCAUGCCAGCAAGGAGCUCCUUGUGUAGCCUGCCUCUGGAGCCUCAAGUUCAACUUCCAUAGGGCCAAAAGGGGAGUCGGGCUGGGCAGAAGCUCCUGAGAACCAAAGCAAAUGGUCUGAGAGUCUGAGAGUGUAGUGGAGGUAACGUGUUCGUGUCCUCUCUGGCUGCAUCACCCCAAGUCCUUGCAGACUCAAGUAGCCUAUUUGCAAGUUUAAAUAGUUUGAGUCCUGGCCGGUAACAAGAAUACUCUACAGUGGCCCAGAGUCAGGGAUAUAGAGUGGCGACUACUUGGCAGAACUGGAGCUUGCUCAGAUGAAAAGAUAAAUUGUACUGGUUAAACGAAAAAAAAAAAAAA
rnacentral:lncRNA from 1 species